rnacentral:rRNA from 1 species
UCCACGCCCUAAACGAUGUCAACUAGGUGUAUGGGAGUUUAACUCCUGUGUAUCGAAGCUAACGCGAUAAGUUGACCGCCUGGGGAGUACGGCCGCAAGGCUAAAACUCAAAUGAAUUGACGGGGGCCCGCACAAGCGGUGGAGCAUGUGGUUUAAUUCGAUGCAACGCGAAGAACCUUACCUGGUCUUGACAUGUAGUGAACUUUCCAGAGAUGGAUUGGUGCUUUCGAGAA